UAGGGAAUCUUCCGCAAUGGGCGAAAGCCUGACGGAGCAACGCCGCGUGAGUGAUGAAGGUCUUCGGAUCGUAAAACUCUGUUAUUAGGGAAGAACAAAUGUGUAAGUAACUAUGCACGUCUUGACGGUACCUAAUCAGAAAGCCACGGCUAACUACGUGCCAGCAGCCGCGGUAAUACGUAGGUGGCAAGCGUUAUCCGGAAUUAUUGGGCGUAAAGCGCGCGUAGGCGGUUUUUUAAGUCUGAUGUGAAAGCCCACGGCUCAACCGUGGAGGGUCAUUGGAAACUGGAAAACUUGAGUGCAGAAGAGGAAAGUGGAAUUCCAUGUGUAGCGAUGAAAUGCGCAGAGAUAUGGAGGAACACCAGUGGCGAAGGCGACUUUCUGGUCUGUAACUGACGCUGAUGUGCGAAAGCGCGGGGAUCAAACAGG
rnacentral:rRNA from 1 species